UUGUCACAUGCUUGUCUCAAAGAUUAAGCCAUGCAUGUCUAAGUACACACUGUAGCACAGUGAAACCGCGAAUGGCUCAUUAAAUCAGUUAUGGUUUAUUAGAUCGUGCGUUCCUAUGUGGAUAACUGUGGUAAUUCUAGAGCUAAUACAUGCAACUGGCCCUGACUUUACGGAGGGGCGCUUUUAUUAGAUCAAAAUCAAUCAGGUUUCGGCCUGUAUUUGUGAUGACUCUGGAUAACUUUUGCCGACCGCAUGGCCUUGUGCCGGCGGCGUAUCUUUCAAAUGUCUGCCCUAUCAACUUUCGAUGGUAGGUGAUAUGCCUACCAUGGUUGUAACGGGUAACGGAGAAUCAGGGUUCGAUUCCGGAGAGGGAGCCUGAGAAACGGCUACCACAUCCAAGGAAGGCAGCAGGCGCGCAAAUUACCCACUCCCGGCACGGGGAGGUAGUGACGAAAAAUAACAAUGCUGGGCUUCAAGUCCGGUAAUUGGAAUGAGUACACUUUAAAUCCUUUAACGAAGAUCUAGU
rnacentral:rRNA from 1 species